AUAAUUAAAUUUCUUUUUCACCUUUUCUCCUGUCUUUUUAUUUCCUGAUAGUUAAAAUUAUAUGGUGACAUGCAUAGCCACUGCCUUGGCAUUCAGUUGCCAAUUUUGAAUAAUUGCUCUCACUUUUUUGGGCUUUACAGGUGAUAUGUUUACAGAGGAACAGAGAAUGAGUUGGUUGAAUCAGCAGCUGAGAUGCUCUAUGGUCUGAUUCAUGCGUGUUAUAUAUUGACAAGCAAAGGAAUGGCUGCUAUGAUUGGUGUUUGUCGAGAUGGAAAUAUGAAAUAUCUCACGAGUAUAAGGGCAUUGAUGCAAUCUUGUAAGGAGUUGUUCUGCCGACCCCUCAUGCCCAGGUGCAUAUUGUUAGAUCUGACUAGAUAUAAUUUAUAAAGAUAGAGGAGCAGCACAUUUGACAUAUUUGAAUGAUUUAUUCUCAAUAUUUAGUAGUUAAGUUGUAAGUUUUGGGUUUCGAUUGGUCAACCCUAGUGUAUAGCCCUUAACUACAUUAAUGUGAAUUCCCCACCUCAAUCGAUGAAUUGAAUGUCAUUAAUUUAUUAAAUUAGAUGGAAAUGGUUUGAAAAGGUCUAUCAUGGAAUCCUACAUGUUCUCAAGGCAUAUAUAGUGCAAGUUCAAUCUUUUUCCUUUA